AACUACCAAAUAGUUAUAGGUGCCCAUAAUUGGGUUAAAAGGGAAUCAGGAAAGCCUGAGCGGUCCCGCCACUGUAACCAGCUACGAACCAUACGUAACCACCAUGAAUUGGGAAGGGUAUGGGGAGGAUGAUCUGGAAGCCAGGAAACCUGCCUGUAAUGAGUAGCUGGA
rnacentral:ncRNA from 2 species